GAUGUUGAUACUAAGGUCUUGUGCAACGUCUGCUUGCGAACCGUGUCAGGGCUUGACCGCAGCAGCACUAAACAAGAAGUGGCGUGUGCCACAAGGUAGCUUUAGCGGAGUCAACCGACGGGAAAACGCUUCGGUGCGUAUUAUCAAAGACGGUGCGCAG
rnacentral:SRP_RNA from 1 species